GGCAGCUUGGCCGAGGGGUCUAUGGCGGCGCAUUUAAGGCUUACACAAGCUCUGCGCUCUCGCAAGAGGCGCGGGUUCGAAUCCCGUAGCUGCCA